rnacentral:rRNA from 1 species
GACGAACGCUGGCGGCGUGCUUAACACAUGCAAGUCGAGCGGUAAGGCCCUUUCGGGGGUACACGAGCGGCGAACGGGUGAGUAACACGUGGGUGACCUGCCCUCAGCUCUGGGAUAAGCCUGGGAAACCGGGUCUAAUACCGGAUAUGACUCCAUGACGCAUGCGUGUGGGGUGGAAAGCCUUGUGCGGCUGAGGAUGGGCCCGCGGCCUAUCAGCUUGUUGGUGGGGNGAUGGCCUACCAAGGCGACGACGGGUAGCCGGCCUGAGAGGGCGACCGGCCACACUGGGACUGAGACACGGCCCAGACUCCUACGGGAGGCAGCAGUGGGGAAUCUUGCGCAAUGGGCGAAAGCCUGACGCAGCGACGCCGCGUGA